rnacentral:rRNA from 1 species
AAUCAACGCUGGCGGCGUGCCUCAGACAUGCAAGUCGAACGAUUUAAAGCUCUCUUCGGAGAGUGUAUAGAGUGGCGCACGGGUGAGUAACACGUAAGUAAUCUACCCUCGAGUGGGGAAUAACAACCGGAAACGGUUGCUAAUACAGCAUAAUGCAGCGGCACCGCAAGGUGACAGUUGUUAAAGAUUUAUCGCUUUGAGGAGGAGCUUGCGGCAGAUUAGCUAGUUGGUAGGGUAACGGCUUACCAAGGCUACGAUCUGUAACCGGUCUAAGAGGACGGUCGGUCACACUGACACUGAAUAACGGGUCAGACUCCUACGGGAGGCAGCAGUCGGGAAUUUUGGGCAAUGGGCGAAAGCCUGACCCAGCAACGCCGCGUGAAGGAUGAAGUAUUUCGGUAUGUAAACUUCGAAAGAUAGGAAGAAUUAAUGACGGUACUAUUUAUAAGGUCCGGCUAACUACGUGCCAGCAGCCGCGGUAAU